UACGGAGGGGGCUAGCGUUGUUCGGAAUUACUGGGCGUAAAGCGCACGUAGGCGGCUUUGUAAGUUAGAGGUGAAAGCCCGGGGCUCAACUCCGGAAUUGCCUUUAAGACUGCAUCGCUAGAAUUGUGGAGAGGUAAGUGGAAUUCCGAGUGUAGAGGUGAAAUUCGUAGAUAUCGGGGAGGAACACCGGUGGCGAAGGCGGCGAUCUGGGUCGAUACUGACGCUGAGGUGGCGAAAGCG
rnacentral:rRNA from 1 species